ensembl:rRNA 5S_rRNA 5S ribosomal RNA
AUCUACAGGCAUACCACCCUUAUCCCAGCAGCUAAGUAGGGUCGGGCCUGGCCAGUACUUGGAUGGGAGACUCCCUGGGAAUAUCAGUGCUGUAAGAUU